GAUGAAGAACGUAGCGAAAUGCGAUAAGUAAUGUGAAUUGCAGAAUUCAGUGAAUCAUCGAAUCUUUGAACGCACAUUGCGCCCGCUAGUAUUCUGGCGGGCAUGCCUAUCCGAGCGUCAUUUCAACCCUCAAGCCCCCGGGCUUGGUGUUGGGGAUCGGCGAGCCUCCGCGCCCGCCGUCCCCUAAAUCUAGUGGCGGUCUCGCUGUAGCUUCCUCUGCGUAGUAGCACACCUCGCACUGGGAAACAGCGCGGCCACGCCGUUAAACCCCCAACUUCUGAACGUUUGACCUCGGAUCAGGUAGGAAUACCCGCUGAACUUAAGCAUAUCAAUAAGCGGAGGA
rnacentral:misc_RNA from 1 species